GUGCACAUUUCAUUGUCCCAUUCUUCCCAUGUAAGAACUGAGAUAUUUCUUAUGUGCUAGAUAAACUCUGGAGGUAAAUUAGCAGUUUGGCUUCAUUGUGCCUCACUGCCAGUCCCCUUCAUACAAUA
ensembl:snoRNA